AGCUCCAAUAGCGUAUAUUAAAGUUGUUGCAGUUAAAAAGCUCGUAGUUGGAUCUCAGGUCCAGGCUCGAGGUCCACCUCGCGGUGGCUACUUCCUGUCCUGACCUACCAUCCGGUUUUCCCUUGGUGCUCUUGAUUGAGUGUCUCGGGUGGCCAGAACGUUUACUUUGAAAAAAUUAGAGUGUUCAAAGCAGGCGCUUCGCCUGAAUAAUGGUGCAUGGAAUAAUGGAACAGGACCUCGGUUCUAUUUUGUUGGUUUUCGGAAGUCGAGGUAAUGAUUAAGAGGGACAGACGGGGGCAUUCGUAUUACGGUGUUAGAGGUGAAAUUCUUGGAUCGCCGUAAGACGAACUACUGCGAAAGCAUUUGCCAAGAAUGUUUUCA
rnacentral:rRNA from 1 species